rnacentral:rRNA from 1 species
AACGAACGCUGGCGGCAUGCCUAACACAUGCCAGUCGAACGAGACCUUCGGGUCUAGUGGCGCACGGGUGCGUAACACGUGGGAAUCUGCCCUUUGCUUCGGAAUAACAGUUGGAAAUGACUGCUAAUACCGGAUGAUGUCGAAAGACCAAAGAUUUAUCGGCCAAGGAUGAGCCCGCGUAGGAUUAGGUAGUUGGUGGGGUAAAGGCCUACCAAGCCGACGAUCCUUAGCUGGUCUGAGAGGAUGAUCAGCCACACUGGGACUGAGACACGGCCCAGAAGCCGAAGGGAGGCAGAAGUGGGGAAUAUUGGACAAUGGGCGCAAGCGUGAUAAAGCCAUAACGCGUGGGUGAAGAAGGCCUUCGGGUUGUAAAGCACUUUUGUUGGGAAAGAAAAGCAGAAGGUGAAUACCCCGCUGUUAUGACGGUACCCAAAGAAUAAGAACCGGCUAAAUUCGUG